rnacentral:rRNA from 1 species
CCUACGGGAGGCUGCAGUGGGGAAUAUUGCACAAUGGGGGAAACCCUGAUGCAGCGACGCCGCGUGAGUGAAGAAGUAAUUCGUUAUGUAAAGCUCUAUCAGCAGGGAAGAAAAUGACGGUACCUGAGUAAGAAGCCCCGGCUAACUACGUGCCAGCAGCCGCGGUAAUACGUAGGGGGCAAGCGUUAUCCGGAUUUACUGGGUGUUAAGGGAGCGUAGACGGCAGUGCAAGUCUGGAGUGAAAGGCGGGGGCUCAACCCCCGGACUGCUCUGGAAACUGUACGGCUGGAGUGCAGGAGAGGUAAGUGGAAUUCCUAGGGUAGCGGUGGAAUGCGUAGAUAUUAGGGGGGACACCAGUGGCGAAGGCGGCUUACUGGACUGUAACUGACGUUGAGGGUCGAAAGCGUGGGGAGCAAACAAGAUUAGAUACCCCUGGUAGUC